rnacentral:lncRNA from 1 species
GAUUCUACCACAGUGUUUCUCUGAGUGUACCAUUUGGUAACGAUAACAUUAAGAGAGUCUGUUUGGUUUUCUAUCCUUCCAGUUUUUUCAAACCAGAAGAAGAAUUCCAUAUCGCACCGGAGUCUUCUCAUGUCGGCUAACCAUAGCCUACCAAACUCCUUCUGUUCUUCCGGAGAAUAAGUACUUCCGUACCAUCUCCUUUUGAGAGUGUCUUUCGGAUGGUUCCAUCGGACCUUUAAGGCCUGUAGAUC